UGUCGCAUAGUCUAGUGGUUAGGACGUCCGAUACCCAGUCGGAAGACCUAGGUUCGAUUCCUGGUGCGAUAG
rfam:Glossina morsitans morsitans, isolate Yale, WGS project CCAG01000000 data, contig: ctg10021509